rnacentral:tRNA from 1 species
CGCGGGGUAGAGCAGUUGGUAGCUCGUCGGGCUCAUAACCCGGAGGUCGUUGGUUCAAGUCCAGCCCCCGCUACCA